rnacentral:tRNA from 1 species
GAGGGUAUAGCUCAAGUGGUAGAGUGUAUGCUUAGCAUGCAUGAGGUCCUGGGUUCAAUUCCCAGUAUCUCCC